UACAGAGGUCCCAAGCGUUUGUUCGGAUUCACUGGGCGUAAAGGGUGCGUAGGUGGCCAGGUAAGUUCGGUGUGAAAGCUCGGAGCUUAACUCCGAAAUGGCAUUGAAUACUAUCUGGCUAGAGGGUCGGAGGGGAGACUGGGAAUUCCUGGUGUAGCGGUGAAAUGCGCAGAUAUCAGGAGGAACACCGGUGGCGAAGGCGGGUCUCUGGGCCGAAACUGACGCUGGAGGAGCGAAAGCGUGGGGAGCAAACAGG
rnacentral:rRNA from 1 species